rnacentral:tmRNA from 1 species
GGGGAUGUUUUGGUUUUGACAGCAUCGAUUCUGGAUAGUAAGCACGUCGGGCGUAGGGGGCUGGCCCGUUAAUCCCAGUCUUCAAGCCAUAACUGGCAACUACAAUUAUUCAUACGCUUGCUAGUCUCCAAGAGACUGAGCAUUUAUCGGUGAGGCCAAGGCUGCUUCACUGACGUAUAUCCCUCCAGCUUUAGGCCGGUUCAGUCUGGAUUAAGGGGUAUCAUAUAACCCGGAUGCGGGGGAAGGACGCCUCUAUGUCCCCUCAAGUUUUAGAGGAUAAGUUGCACUUGGCCUGUCUUCCGGCACUGUGCAGUCGAAAACUAAAGAAAGAAUAAACGUGUAGAAAGCUGUUUGGAACAAUGUUUGGACGAGGGUUCGAGUCCCUCCAUCUCCACUU